UACAGAUUUGCUUUAGUUGGUACUAUGAUUUCACUCUGAUUGUGAUUUAUUCCUCUUUUUUUAUUAUUCUUAUCUCCUUAAUCAUCUCCAUCAUUUAUUUAUUCUAAAAUUUUACUGCAGCCACUGAAAAUGAUAUCCCGUCUUCUUCCAACCAUCGCCAUCUUGGGUUUGCUCGCCCAUGUUGCUGCCGAGCAAAAUUAUCACAGAUGCAAAGUCAUUGUAAUGCAGCUUACGACCAAUGGACUAUAUUUACUUAGAUGUCUUCGAUAUGAAUAUGAUGAUGGAAUGUGACUGCAUUGGCCACUAAGGAUUGUGUUAAUUUUUUUUUUUCAUAAUGUGUUCAAAUGUGAAAAAGUAUUAUUACAUAGUUGCUUAUAGCUAUUUCAUCAGUUUUUAUUUAACUUGAUUCUUCACAUCACCGAAAUAAAUCAAAUUUUUAUUUAUAUUUAUUUUGCUAACUUCUUACGUUUCAUUCGGUUGUAUAAUUUUGAAAUUUCAUUAAAUAUAAUAUUAACUAAAGAAAUUGUUUUGUGGAAUUGUUCAGAAUAAACACUUAAUUUUUCUUAAUUCUUUCAAGAAAUGGUGUUGGUAUAAUUAUUUUAAUAACAAUAUUUUGAAAAAUUAAAAAUAAAAUGUUAUAUGUUCGCUUAUAACCAUUUCGCCGAUUCCCAAUUCGAACCUAAUUCUUCACACCUUCGAAAUGAAUGCUCGUAUGUGUGAUUAAUUUCAAAAUUUCGGUAAAAAUGAUGCUAUAUUUAUUAGAAAGUUUUAUUCAAAAUAAUCUCUUAUUUUCUCUGCACUGUUUCAAAGCAUCAUAUUGAUUAUUAUUUUUUUUUAAUAUUGUUUUAAAAAAUGAUUUUGAAAAAAUAUUACAUAUUUGCUUAUAAUUAU